rfam:Gorilla gorilla gorilla genomic chromosome, chr1, whole genome shotgun sequence
GCCAGGCAUGGUGGCGCAUGCCUGUAAUCCCAGCUACUUGGGAGGCUGAGGCAGGAGAAUCACUUGAACCCAGGAGGCAGAGGUUGCAGUGAGCCGAGAUCAUGCUACUACACUCCAGCCUGGGCGAAAGAGAGAGACUCUGUCUCAU